AACUGGCGGCGUGCCUAAUACAUGCAAGUCGAACGAGUUCUCGUUGAUGAUCGGUGCUUGCACCGAGAUUCAACAUGGAACGAGUGGCGGACGGGUGAGUAACACGUGGGUAACCUGCCCUUAAGUGGGGGAUAACAUUUGGAAACAGAUGCUAAUACCGCAUAGAUCCAAGAACCGCAUGGUUCUUGGCUGAAAGAUGGCGUAAGCUAUCGCUUUUGGAUGGACCCGCGGCGUAUUAGCUAGUUGGUGAGGUAAUGGCUCACCAAGGCGAUGAUACGUAGCCGAACUGAGAGGUUGAUCGGCCACAUUGGGACUGAGACACGGCCCAAACUCCUACGGGAGGCAGCAGUAGGGAAUCUUCCACAAUGGACGCAAGUCUGAUGGAGCAACGCCGCGUGAGUGAAGAAGGCUUUCGGGUCGUAAAACUCUGUUGUUGGAGAAGAAUGGUCGGCAGAGUAACUGUUGUCGGCGUGACGGUAUCCAACCAGAAAGCCACGGCUAACUACGUGCCAGCAGCCGCGGUAAUACGUAGGUGGCAAGCGUUAUCCGGAUUUAUUGGGCGUAAAGCGAGCGCAGGCGGUUUUUUAAGUCUGAUGUGAAAGCCCUCGGCUUAACCGAGGAAGCGCAUCGGAAACUGGGAAACUUGAGUGCAGAAGAGGACAGUGGAACUCCAUGUGUAGCGGUGAAAUGCGUAGAUAUAUGGAAGAACACCAGUGGCGAAGGCGGCUGUCUGGUCUGUAACUGACGCUGAGGCUCGAAAGCAUGGGUAGCGAACAGGAUUAGAUACCCUGGUAGUCCAUGCCGUAAACGAUGAAUGCUAGGUGUUGGAGGGUUUCCGCCCUUCAGUGCCGCAGCUAACGCAUUAAGCAUUCCGCCUGGGGAGUACGACCGCAAGGUUGAAACUCAAAGGAAUUGACGGGGGCCCGCACAAGCGGUGGAGCAUGUGGUUUAAUUCGAAGCAACGCGAAGAACCUUACCAGGUCUUGACAUCUUUUGAUCACCUGAGAGAUCAGGUUUCCCCUUCGGGGGCAAAAUGACAGGUGGUGCAUGGUUGUCGUCAGCUCGUGUCGUGAGAUGUUGGGUUAAGUCCCGCAACGAGCGCAACCCUUAUGACUAGUUGCCAGCAUUUAGUUGGGCACUCUAGUAAGACUGCCGGUGACAAACCGGAGGAAGGUGGGGAUGACGUCAAAUCAUCAUGCCCCUUAUGACCUGGGCUACACACGUGCUACAAUGGAUGGUACAACGAGUUGCGAGACCGCGAGGUCAAGCUAAUCUCUUAAAGCCAUUCUCAGUUCGGACUGUAGGCUGCAACUCGCCUACACGAAGUCGGAAUCGCUAGUAAUCGCGGAUCAGCACGCCGCGGUGAAUACGUUCCCGGGCCUUGUACACACCGCCCGUCACACCAUGAGAGUUUGUAACACCCGAAGCCGGUGGCGUAACCCUUUUAGGGAGCGAGCCGUCUAAGGUGGGACAAAUGAUUAGGGUGAAGUCGUAACAAGGCUA
rnacentral:rRNA from 1 species